CCCAGCCCUGUGGGAGGGGAGGGGAGGGGGGGUGCUCCAUGGGGAGGGGGAGAAGAAUGGAUGUUAUGGGGGGGUGGGGGCAACAAAGGAUACUGCAACUGCCGAGCCUGCCUCACCUCAUGCCAGGGGAGAGAGUCACACUCACAGUUGCAUCAAGCUUGGACUUUCCAAGAACAACUGUGUAGCCUGAUGAAUCCGUUCCCCUGAGAAGAAGGUAAAUAAAGGAGACAUGAAGACUAUCAGGUUUCCGAGAGCAAGGACAGUUCUAACCACCAGCCAAUCAGGACUGGUGUGCAACCCACUUCCAGGUUGUUCCCCGUCGUCUGAGAAACAUUGCCGUAGACCGUGCUACCUCUCUAACUGGCAGCAAGUUUGAAAAUUUGAAACUAAAGCCUUCCUGGUGCAACUUCAUUCAGUCUGUCUGUGCCAUACUGUUAUCAGAUUUUGUGUUCAUAUUGGUAUUUUUAAAAGUCCAUAACAGUAAUUAUUGUUUACAAUGAAAAUAAAUUAUUCAGUGUAUUAUAGAAAUAUGUUAGAGUGUUUAACUACCUGUGCAUGGUAGUACCCUUUUUAAUGCAUUAAAUCUCUAUUUAAAUGGUUUGAUUUUAUCUAGUGUAAUUUAGAAGCUUUUUUGUAUAUUAGCCAUAUCUUUCCUCCUUUAUAUCAGAUUUAUUGUUUUAUAACUUACAAAUAGGGGACCAACUUCUAUCUUUGACUACACUCUUGCAACUCCACUGACUUAAUAAUUUGUGAUCUUCAAAAUGUGUCCAUGGUGACCAAUAUUUGGGGUGAAUAGGAAACUUAAGGUCCUAUACUUCAUCCUGUGCUAUGUUUAUCUACUGUCUAAAUAAACAAUUCUAGGUGCGAUCACAAUAGCCCUGCUUCUGAUAUCAAGAAUAGAACCGAUAAGAGGAAGUAACACUGUUGGACCAGGAUGCACCAAAAUAACUUACUGGAAGAAACUCUGAAUAGAGAUGCUAUUUAUUUAAUUUCUUGGUAAUGAAGAUGGUUAACUACUUAUCAGCUCAGAAUUGGAAAAGCCUUUUUGGUAGCUAGAGUGCUAGGGUAAAUUAAUCAUGCCAAGUGCUACAGCACAACAUGAAGGCAUUGCUCUUGCAAGAGCAAUAUUUAACUUGCCUUCCUCUUACAGGAAGAACAAAAAUACAUUAAAACAUUUAUCUGGCUGAGUUUUCCUAGGUCAGCCCUUGUUUCUCCCUUUUAAGAACUGAGCUUAGGCUACUUGUUAAUGAAAAUAAAACCUAGAUAUGCACAGGACUGGCACAUACAAAGGCCCAGAUCCACAAAGGUACGUAGGCUUCUAACGUCUGUUGAUUUGUGGAUCUGGGCCAAUCUAACUAGCUCUGCUUGCUUUGAUCUUUUAUUGUACCAGCAAAGCCUUCUCAGAAUCAGGUUCCAAAACCAUGUCAGCUGCAAGCAAAAUGUCUUUCUAAUGAUGUGCUGAGUCCAUGUUCUGACUAGUGAUUGAAUCUGUGUAAUCUGUCAAUUAUCUAAGAUGCAAAGUAUGUUUCAAUACAUCUAUUUUCUUUAAAGAGGCAAUGCCAGAACCCUCACGGUGCAGCAUCCGUUGGAGGGAUGGUGGCUUAGUGAUGCGAUCAUCGAUUUGAAAUACCCACAGCAGCCUGGUGGAAACCACAGGUUCAGAUUGUGGCAGAGUUGAUAUUUGCAAAAAUCUCAUGUUUAAGCACCUAAAUAAGUGGUCUGAUUGUUUUUAAAAUUUCUCAGUACCCAGCAACUUUCACUGAAAUCAACUGCAGUUUGAUGACAUCAGAAACAAGAGAUUGAAUUUUUAGCUAUAGGAAAGUUAUUUUAGAUCAUUUGAAUAGUUUUUUUUAUUAUUUUUAUUAUAUUUUUAGCUUGAUUUUUUUCCUUUUCUCUGAGCGUUGUACAGUUGGCCUCAUGAAAACUGAGGCACAUGGCUUCACAGGCAGAGGGAUACAAGAAAUAGUCCCAUUAAAAUGUUUUAAAACUCUCUCAAACAUUCUUAGAAUAAUGUUCUAUAAUAUAGGCCAUAUGUGGUGCAAUAUCAACUGUUAUCAGUACUUGUGUGGGAUGACAGGUAUAUUUCACUUGUUGCUUUGUCUCCUAUGAGUAAUGCAGCCGUCCCAAACUCAUGCUGACUGAAAACAUGUGCAUUACACCACAUCAGGGGUGUGUGUGUGUGUGUGUUGGGAGUGGGAGGGGAGAUAGAGAAAUUCAGGAAGCUACGGACUGUGGCCAAAUUGUGUCAUUCUAGCACUGGCCUGUCUUGGGGCCCAAGCACCCUCAUCCCAGGGGGAGCUCAGCGCAGGAUUGUGCCCAAGAAGGUACCACCUAUACCCAGGCACCUGUGUAAGAGCUGGGGGCAAUAUGGCCUUAUAUUUCUUUAGGCCUUGAUUCAGCAAGGUACUAAAGCCUGAGCCUUCAUUUAAGCACGUGGCCCCAUUGAGGCCCAUGAGUCUUCUCAUUUGCUGAAAGUUGGGGCUUGUCUACACUAGCAAUUGACCAGCAGAACUACAGCAGUAUAAUUAUGAUUAUACAGCUAUAGCUAUGCUGCUAUAACUCCCCAUGUGAACACUUUGAGGAUAAAGGCAACCUCAUUCUGAUAUAAUAAGCAGUAAUUAUACUAGAAAAAGUCAAUUUUAUUCUCAGAUAGUGUCCCCAUGGGAAUUAUACCAGCAUAGCCAUAGCACUAUAGUUAUACUAGUAUAGUUCUUCCAAACAAUCCAUUUCCCUGUGUAGACAAGCUCUUAGGCAAAUCUUUAUAUACCUUGUUGAAACUGAAUCAGUGCCUUAAUGUUAGCUUCAAGAUUUUUUAAGCUGAUGUUCCCAGCUAGCAAAAAAUAGGCCUCAUUCCUAAAACGAAGGAGGUAACUAACAACAUUUAUCAUUUUUAAUGCAUCUUGUCAGCCAAGAAAAUGUUAGGGUUUGUAAAGUAUCCUAAAUGGCUUAUUUCCAGUGAAAGUGUGGAAAUAUAUUAUAUAAUAAAUGAACUGAUUUUUUUUGG